UAGGGAAUCUUCGGCAAUGGACGAAAGUCUGACCGAGCAACGCCGCGUGAGUGAAGAAGGUUUUCGGAUCGUAAAACUCUGUUGUUAGAGAAGAACAAGGACGUUAGUAACUGAACGUCCCCUGACGGUAUCUAACCAGAAAGCCACGGCUAACUACGUGCCAGCAGCCGCGGUAAUACGUAGGUGGCAAGCGUUGUCCGGAUUUAUUGGGCGUAAAGCGAGCGCAGGCGGUUUCUUAAGUCUGAUGUGAAAGCCCCCGGCUCAACCGGGGAGGGUCAUUGGAAACUGGGAGACUUGGGUGCAGAAGAGGAGAGUGGAAUUCCAUGUGUAGCGGUGAAAUGCGUGGAUAUAUGGAGGAACACCAGUGGCGAAGGCGGCUCUCUGGUCUGUAACUGACGCUGAGGCUCGAAAGCGUGGGGAGCAAACAGG
rnacentral:rRNA from 1 species